ACAUUGGUGGUUCAGUGGUAGAAUUCUUCCCUUCUAUGCAGGAGACCUAGGUUCGAUUCCUAGCCAAUGCA
rnacentral:tRNA from 1 species